rnacentral:tRNA from 1 species
GGGCCUGUAGCUCAGUUGGUCAGAGCAAGCGACUCAUAAUCGCUCGGUCGCGGGUUCAAGUCCCGCCGGGCCCACCA